rnacentral:lncRNA from 1 species
GGAGCUUGCAUCUCAGCUGGAAGGCCAAGAAAGACAGCAACUGGCUUUUAGAGACAAACAUGGUUGAUUUCACAGUUGCAAGCUCUGAUUUAAGUCAGAAUAAAAAGCUACAUGAAAUCAACUAAAAGGAGUCUGCUGUCUGGUGCUCCAACAAUUAGUUGAAAGGCUCCUACUUUGAAAAUAAUUCACAGCCCCCUCAUCUUUUAAGCUGAUGCUGCUCAAACUACAACCAAGGAACAGUUCCUCUUCUGUCCUGUGAAUUGUUUGUAACCAGUCCACAAUGAGAACCUGGACAAAGCCCCAGCUAAUGUCCUGCCUAUGGCAACUAAGCAAAUUGACAACAGAGCCAGGAGAACAUAGAGGACAAGUUGAACAACGUUGUGUAGGGGUGAUGACUGCAUCCACCAAGUCACCUAAACUAGAAAUCUGCAAACCUUUUGUCACCAAGUCACCUCCAGCCAGUGACCAAGCCUUGACAAUUAUGCUUCCUUAGUAUCUCUUAGACCUUUCUCUCUAGUCAAACUCCUGUUCCUAAAUGUAGACUCUUAUCCGCUCUGCCUGGAAAACUGCUCCUGGCUUUCAAACCCUUGAAUAGCUGUCCAUUGCUUAAGAAAUAUACAUCCUCUAGACCUGGCCUCUGUCUACCUAGCUGCAUUGGGCACACCAUUCCAUUAUCACUCAAGCCCUGAACUCUUGAGAUGUGUUACUUAUUUUUAAUAUUGUUACUUGAAAAUGUUUAAAUCUAGAGGCCCUGAAUUGGCUUAUAUGGAUCCACCAGUUACCUUUGUUAUAUAGAUCAGAAAACUUGGAGAAAAAAAAAAGAAAAGAAAAGAAAACACGGUCUUUAUUUGUUUUGCUCAAACAUGGAUUCCUAUCUAAAGUGUACCCUUCUCUCUUUUUAAAUUGUGCUCUUCUUGAAAGCAAGGACAUUAGACAAAAUAUAUUUCUAUCACUCCUGCAGUGCCCUACAUGUAGUAGGUGCUCAAUAAAUAUAUUUUAACAAAGUCA